rnacentral:rRNA from 1 species
UUCCGGUUGAUCCUGCCGGACCGAUUGCUAUUGGGAUUCGAUUUAGCCAUGCUAGUCGCACGAGUUUAGACUCGUGGCAGAUAGCUCAGUAACACGUGGCCAAGCUCCCCUUCCUCCAACAAUAACCUCGGGAAACUUGGCUAAAAAUGGAUACGGUAUGCACGCUGGAAUGCGACAUACUCCAAACGUUCCGACGCUCAAGGAUGCGGCUGCGGCCGAUUAGGUAGACGGUGGGGUAACGGCCCACCGUGCCAAUAAUUGGGACCGGUGAUGAGAGUCAGAGCCCGGAGACGGAAUCUGAGACAAGAUUCCGGGCCCUACUGGGCGCACCAAGCGCGAAACCUUUACACUGAACUCCUGUGCGAUUGGGGUAUCCCAAGUGCGUAGGCAUAGAGCCUACGCUUUUGUACACCGUAAGGAGGUGUACCAAUAAUGGCUGUGCAAGACCGGUGCCAGCCGCCGCGGUCAUACCUGCCGCUCUAGUGAUGUCCGAUCUUAUUGCGCCUAAAACAUCCGUAGGUUGCCAGCCCAUUUCGUUUGGAAAUCCACCUGCCCAACAGGUGGGCGUCCAGAGAUUACUGUCUGGCUUGGCACCGGAAGGCCCAGAGGGUACGUUGAGGGUAGGAGUGAAAUCCUGUAAUCCUCGACCGACCACCGAUUGUGAAAGCACUCUGAGAGUGACCGAUUCGACAGUGAAAGACGACAGCUACGGGUCUCGUACCGGACUAGAUACUCUGGGUGGUCCUAGCUGUCAACGAUGCUCGCUAGAUGUGGCACCCACCUACAGUGGCUGCGGUGUCUUAGGGCAAGCCGGUAAACUAGCCCACUGGUAGU